AGAGUUUGAUCCUGGCUCAGGACGAACGCUGGCGGCGUGCUUAACACAUGCAAGUCAAGGGGAACGACAGACUUCGGUUUGUUUAGUAUACUGGCGAACGGGUGAGUAACGCGUAGGUAACCUGCCUAUGAGUUUGGGAUAACACUGCUAACGACGUGCUAAUACCGGAUAACGCAAUUUGAUCGCAUGGUUAGAUUGUUAAAGUGGGCUUUUAGCUCAUGCUUAUAGAUGGACCUGCGUCUCAUUAGUUAGUUGGCGGGGUAACGGCCCACCAAGACCGCGAUGGGUAGCCGACCUGAGAGGGUGAUCGGCCACACUGGGACUGAGAUACGGCCCAGACUCCUACGGGAGGCAGCAGUGAGGAAUAUUGCGCAAUGGAGGAAACUCUGACGCAGCAACGCCGCGUGCGGGAUGACGCUUUUAGGAGUGUAAACCGCUGUUAGUAGGGACGAAUAAGUUAUGUUCGAAUAGGUCAUAACGAUGACGGUACCUACAGAGAAAGCCCCGGCUAACUCCGUGCCAGCAGCCGCGGUAAUACGGAGGGGGCGAGCGUUGUCCGGAAUUAUUGGGCGUAAAGGGCGCGUAGGCGGGCUAAUCAGUCUGUGGUGAAAGUUUGCGGCUUAACCGUAAAAUUGCCGUGGAUACUGUUAGUCUUGAGUUCGGAAGAGGAAAGUAGAAUUCCUGGUGUAGCGGUGAAAUGCGUAGAUAUCAGGAAGAAUACCGGUGGCGAAGGCGGCUUUCUGGUCCGAAACUGACGCUGAGGCGCGAAAGUGUGGGUAGCGAACAGGAUUAGAUACCCUGGUAGUCCACACAGUAAACGAUGGAUACUAGGUGUUGGAUGGCAACGUUCAGCGCCGGAGCAAACGCAUUAAGUAUCCCGCCUGGGGAGUACGAUCGCAAGAUUGAAACUCAAAGGAAUUGACGGGGGCCCGCACAAGCGGUGGAGCAUGUGGUUUAAUUCGAUGCAACGCGAAGAACCUUACCUGGGCUUGAACUGAUACUGCUAUACUGUGAAAGCAGUUAUUCCUUCGGGACGGUAUUAGAGGUGCUGCAUGGCUGUCGUCAGCUCGUGUCGUGAGAUGUUGGGUUAAGUCCCGCAACGAGCGCAACCCUUACUCUUAGUUGCCAGCACAUAAUGGUGGGAACUCUAAGAUACUGCCCCGGUUAACGGGGAGGAAGGUGGGGAUGACGUCAAGUCCUCAUGGCCUUUAUGCCUAGGGCUACACACGUGCUACAAUGGGCUGUACAAAGGGUUGCCAACCUGUGAAGGUGAGCCAAUCCCAUAAAGCAGUUCGUAGUUCGGAUUGGAGUCUGCAACUCGACUCCAUGAAGCUGGAAUCGCUAGUAAUCGUGGAUCAGAACGCCACGGUGAAUACGUUCCCGGGCCUUGUACACACCGCCCGUCACACCAUGAGAGUUGGUUGUACCAGAAGUCGUUGGGCAAACCCUUCGGGGGUGCAGGCGCCUAAGGUAUGGCUGAUGAUUGGGGUGAAGUCGUAACAAGGUA
rnacentral:rRNA from 1 species